UCACUACUUGCCACUAACUCCUCGAGUGAAAUGGUUAUUUCUAUAAAAAAAACCUACCAUGCACAUGCGAUGGCAUAAAGAAGGUAUCUGUGAGAACGAUGAGCUAAUGGUGCACCCUUUAGAUGAGGAUGCUUGGAAGGCUCUCAACACGUUUGAUCCAGACUUUGCAGCUAAAUCGAGGAAUGUUCGAAUCGACCUCGCGACCGAUGGAUCCACACCUUUUGGUCAAAUAGCAUCAUCAUACUCAUGUUGGCCCAUCUUUGUUAUUCCAUACAACCUUCCACCUGCUCUUUGUAUGAAGUAUGAAUUUAUAUUUCUUUGCUUGAUCAUACCUGGCCCGAACCAUCCUAGAAAGAAACACAAUGUCAUUUUAAAACCCUUGAUUGAAGAGUUGAAGGAGCUUUGGAAAGGUGUCGAAGCAUACAAUGUUUUUAAAAAACAGAUAUUCAAACUUCGAGUCAUGUAUUUGUGGUCGGUUCAUGACUUCAUGGGGUAUGCUAUUUUUGUCGGAUGGAGUACACAUGAUAGAUUGACAUGUCCAUAUUCCGGUUUAGAUACAGAUUGCUUCCGUCUUGCUACAGAUUGCUUCUGUCUUGCUCAUGGUAGAAAUAUAACUUAUUUCGAUUAUCAUCGACGCUGGUUGCCUAGGAAACACCCCUUUAGGAGUGACAAGACCCCUUUAGAAUCGCACUAGCUCCACAUGCUACAUAGGGAACAACUUAGGGCGCUGUCAAGCACGACGUUUAGGUAAGAGUAUUGUUUGAAACUAACAUUUUAUGAUUGUUUUAUACUAACUUUAUUUUCGAUGUUGGACAGAGAUGCUAUCGUGUGGAACCUGUGGCUCAAGAGCAUGCAGAUCGAGCAUUAGAGAAAAUACAAAGAAGGUGUGCAAGGAUGCAUUUUCCAAUGCUCGUCUACAAGUUGUAAACACAUACAUGAAGCGUCGAGAGCAUUCUACAACAACUUUCAACAAUAUUGGGAUGUCUACUUGAUUGUGGACCAGUACAUGGAGGUAACUCUUCCAUGGAUGGAACACCGACCGCAGGCUUAUAGGGCUUUGUGUGAGAUAUGGGCUUCGCUAGAGUGGAUUGAGAAGUCAAACAUGAAUCGACAUAGGUAGCGCCAUCAGCAGAACGAGGACGAUGAUGAGGUCGUAGUCAAACAUACCUAUGGGGCUGAUUGACACAUUUCGUUGGCAAAACUAAUGAAGACUUACGGGCAGGAGAUGGUAGGAAGUAUGGAGAAGACUAUGAUUGGCAAGGAGCGCCUACCAUCGACGCUGAAAUUGUGCAUUCUGUUAGAGGAAAGGUCCAUGGACGGCGGGUUGUGGUAGUAGUCGUAGUCGGCGCUCGAGCAUGGAGGAGGCUAUGAGGGAGCAGCAAGAAAGGUUUUGUGAAGAGCUACGACAGGAGAAAAUGGCAUUCGUCCAACAACAAUCAGAGUACAUGGCUGCUUACAACGCACAGACGCAACAAGCAAUGAACGUGAAUGUCUUAUUUAUUCUCAACACGGUCAUAUAUUUGUGUUGUAACUAAUAUACUGUAUUUUGCAACAGUCUUGGUUUCCAGUGCAGGCACAACUGUUGGUGU